AACGAACGCUGGCGGCAUGCCUAACACAUGCAAGUCGAACGAGACCUUCGGGUCUAGUGGCGCACGGGUGCGUAACGCGUGGGAAUCUGCCCUCUGGUACGGAAUAACUCAGGGAAACUUGAGCUAAUACCGUAUAAUGACUUCGGUCCAAAGAUUUAUCGCCUGAGGAUGAGCCCGCGUCGGAUUAGCUAGUUGGUGAGGUAAAAGCUCACCAAGGCGACGAUCCGUAGCUGGUCUGAGAGGAUGAUCAGCCACACUGGGACUGAGACACGGCCCAGACUCCUACGGGAGGCAGCAGUGGGGAAUAUUGGACAAUGGGCGAAAGCCUGAUCCAGCAAUGCCGCGUGAGUGAUGAAGGCCUUAGGGUUGUAAAGCUCUUUUACCCGGGAUGAUAAUGACAGUACCGGAAGAAUAAGCCCCGGCUAACUCCGUGCCAGCCGCCGCAGUAAAAC
rnacentral:rRNA from 1 species